rnacentral:lncRNA from 1 species
GUCCAAUAAUAAAGGUGGCAAAAGAAAAGAAAAUGUAUUUAAUUGUUAUUUGUGUAAAAUAUAUGUGAUUUAUUCCUUUAACAGGGUCCAAGCUCUGAUUACUUUUAUAUAAGGGAAGGAGAUGGAAACAUCAUGGUUAAUAAAACAUUGGAUUACAACAAGAUCAACCUUUUCAAUUUAACAGUCGAAGCAAAGGAAAAAUUUGGAAAUAACAGUGAUACUGCAUCAUUACUAAUUAAUGUACAAGAUUAUGAUACGAUGAACCCCUAUUUCAGUCAAUCAAUGUACAAUGGAAACAUCAGUGAAAAACAGUUGGGUCCUCUGACUAUUCUCCCAGAGAAGAUAUUAGCUAAAGAUGGAGAUAUAGGUAUAAAUGAAAAAGUAUUUUACAGCAUCAAAGUAGGUAAGAGCCUUUAUUUUGUCCUAGACAUUCACGCAGUAAUGAAGAGAACUGCAGAGAAUAAUAAUGAAGUGUAGUGUGCAGUCAGAUGCCUUAACUGCAUACAUCUUCACUACAGUGCUGCUCUGUCAGCUAAAUUGGCUUAAUUUUAGACAUUAUAGCAGGGUCCAG